AGGAUAGAUUUUUUUUUUUGUGUGUUGAUCAGAAAGCACUUUACAGAGGAGGACAAAGAUCAGUUUUUCCAUUGAUACAGGAGCAAAGUGACUUGCCCAAGGCGACAGAGCAAUUCAGUGUUAGAAGUGGGAGCAGAUUCCAAUCCCGUGCACUCUCCAGUGGACCCUGCAUUCUGGCAAGUGCCUUUAAGCCUUUAGCAGCUUGACACUAUAUUUGAUGGACCUCCAGCAUUCUGGCUGAGGCCACUCAGAAUCUGUGAUUUUUCCCCAGGGAAAAGGCGAACAACUUGUUGGGACUUUUUUUGUUUUUUCCUUCCCCUUCUGUAAAGGAAUUGCUUUUUGGGACUGAUGGCUUUGUCCACCUCCUAAACUGGAAAAUUCUGUAGAGGGGAGAUUGACAUGGCUCUUCCUCAUUAUGAUCUAAGGCUCCCUGACCUAGAUCAGAGAUUGAGAAAGAGGAGGAGGAGGAGAAGAGGAAGAGAUUCUGCCCCCAUCCCCAGCAAUGACAGGGAACCCUUGAAUAUCAUAAAUCUAUGUUUGGGAGAAUCCUGCUCUUGUUUUAGGGGGAGGAGCCUAUAUGGCCUGUUCCUUCUUCACAGGGAGAAAGGGGUGGAUGUGGAAGAACCUUAUUCACAGGAUGUGGGGAGACCAGGCCUCAUUCAUCUAUAUGAGAAUUUCCAGGCUUCAUGGCAUAAACAAAAGCUUUAAGCUGUGCCCCUGACCUGGUCCCAGAGGGCUUCCUGUGGUACAGGAGUAGAGCAGGGGCUGUGCCUGUGAGGCUAGGUGUGCAGCAUAGCAAGGCUCCAGAGUGGUGGUCUGCAGGCGGAAAGAGCAGCUGCCAGCUUCCCUCUGAGGCUGCAGUGAGAGGGGAAGUACUUUUCCAUGAUGGAAAGAGGGAGCCAUGCUAACCACACCUGCCAUUAUGAAACACUGGCUGCCCAAGCAGAGGUGGCAGUGAACAGUGUCCACCUAAGCCACACUGACAAGCCAGCUGGGGAAAGGCCCCUGGCCACCGUGGCAGAGAGUUCAUGAUACCUUGUCAGAAGUGUAGGAGCUCUCACCAGCUGGUGGAGUGGGCUGUGGCUUUACCUCACCCUUUACCAUUGGGACCCUAAUGCUUAGAGUGGCUAACCAGCAUUGAAAGCACCCAGCCAACACCUAGAGGGCUUGACUGGGUGACAGGUGAGAAGCUGCAUAAUGCUACCUCUAAGGAAAAGUGGGCAGAGUUAUCCUGUAGUGGCAGGGAGCUGCUUCAUGAGCAAAUACUAGCUCUUGCCAUGCUCAUGCUUCUGUAAGUACAAGUAGUAGUGCUGUUGGUACACCAUCUAAUGAAGAUACGCAUCACCCCACUGAAGGUGUUUGCAAGCUGCCAUUCAGCCUGCUUAUGCACUUUAGAGUUGCUAGACAAUGGUAUUGCUAUAAGUUUACAAGCAUCAAGUGCAAUUUGCAUACAACAGUGGGGAAAUAAUUGCUCACAGAAGUAAGUACCUUUCCCCACCCCUUGGAGACAAGAAUCUUAGAAUUAAAUGUUAUUUAAUACAUAAAUGGUUUUAGAAAUGCCUGCCUCUACAAUAAGCUGGACAGCAUUUUCCAUAUUAAGGGGCAGUGACUUUGCUGUAUUCAGUGCAAGUUUAAACAAACCAGUUUAUAAGUUCGUCUGGUUGUAGCUACAGCUCCACUGAUGCAGAGCAGAGCAAUGGAGAAUAAUUUAAUUGUUUUGUAAAGUUUAUAUUUUUAAAAACUCAGGCAGCAGACUUGUUUCAAUGCUGAGCUGAAUAAGCAUAAACAUACUCCAGCAGCAGGAGGCUGCUCCUGACCAAAACUGUGCACUUUCCCAGCCCAAUAAACUGGCAAAGUAACUUCCACAAAAAAAAAUAAAUGGGGAUUUUACUUAUGCGAUCUGAAAAAAGCUUCUGCAUCCCUAAUUUAUUUUUACAAUAGGGAAGACCAGCUUCCACCCUCCUGGCUGUAUCAUGUUCUGAAUUCACCACUUAGUCACAAUGAGCAUAUAGGGCAAGGUUUCUCCAUGGCAACCUCCCAUAAUGUGAUUAUCUGGUUAUGAAUAAGAAGCAUCCUCUGCUCAGAUAUGGUAUUACAUAUACAUGAAGUCCAGUCUUUUAUAUUAGAGAGACUGAAAAAUGGGCCCUUUGUUUAGCAAAUACCCCACCUAGACAGUAUAAAACUCUUUAGUUAUAUGGUAGGUUUCAUACAAGAAUCUCAGUGCAAAACACUUGACUGACACUCAUUAGGCCUAGAAACUUUCAUUAUGCUUCAUUCAGAUUUUGCUCAGCCUAGAUCUUAAAAAGGAACUUGUAACCACUUGUGAAAUAGUUUGAACCUGUAGACAUGGCCAUUAAAUGGAUGUUAUUUGAGACAAGCAGAGGCAGAACCUAAUGCAAAGUGCUAACCCAGUUUUUGGUUUAAAAAAGGAGAAAGUGGGGUUAAAACUGCUAUUCUUAGUCACACUGGGAGUCUACUGGCCUACUCCCAGGAGGCAAACAUUUAAUUGUAGUUGCUAAAUUAGUAAAGGCAAGUUCCUGGCUUACCUUAGGUCCAAAAUCUUCAGUGGUGCUGCUUUGGGGUAAAAUGGCUAACCCCAUUAAACAUACAGAUAACUGAAAAAAAAAAAAAAAAAACAAAACAAAAACAGUCCUAGCUCAAAGUACUUAGUUACUCAGCUUCAGAUUGCUGUGCAAGAGGGCUGCCAGUUCCCUUUAAGCUGAUUUUAAAAGAGCUCUGUUUGUGGAAGUGGAUGUGGCCUAGACAAAUGAAUUGCACUGAAUAUUCUGGUUUUUUAGUGCUGCUGGGAACUCACCACAAGCUUUGCAGAGGUGGUGGCAUGCUGCUCCAUAGCUCAUCUUAUUGACUUCCAUUCACCAACUAAGACAAAAGGAGUCUAGUUAAUAUUGGAUACCAAAACUGUAUCAUCCAUAACCAACCAUUGCAAACAAGCAAGCCAGCCAGCCUCUGCAAUCAGUUGAGUUUUCCAGAAAAAAAAAAAAAAGAUUCAAAACAAGCUCAUCUAGAGGCAGAUAUCAGGAAAUAGA